UACGUAGGGACCAAGCGUUGUUCGGAUUUACUGGGCGUAAAGGGCGCGUAGGCGGCUUGUCAAGUCACUUGUGAAAUCUCUGAGCUUAACUCAGAACGGCCAAGUGAAACUGACAUGCUAGAGUGCAGAAGGGGCAGUCGGAAUUCUUGGUGUAGCGGUGAAAUGCGUAGAUAUCAAGAGGAACACCUGAGGUGAAGACGGGUUGCUGGGCUGACACUGACGCUGAGGCGCGAAAGCCAGGGGAGCAAACGGG
rnacentral:rRNA from 1 species